CGCACCUUGCACCUCUUGGUAUUCCGAGAGGUACACCUGUUUGAGUGUCGUGAAUCACUCUAAUUUAAUAGUUUUGUUAAAUUAGGAUUUGGGAAUUGCAGGCUUUUGUUUCUGCUUUCCUUGAAUAUAUUAGCAAAGAACACUUGCGACUUGUAAAAGUGUGUGAUAGACUAUCUACACUUUGAGUUGCUUAAUUGUAUAUUGCUUCUAAAACCAUAACUUUUGAACUUGACCUCAAAUCAGGUGGGACUACCCGCUGAACUUAA
rnacentral:misc_RNA from 1 species